rnacentral:rRNA from 1 species
GAUGAACGCUGGCGGCGUGCCUAACACAUGCAAGUCGAACGGACAUUUUUGGAAGACUCUUCGGAACUGGAAUCUAAAUAGUUAGUGGCGGACGGGUGAGUAACGCGUGAGCAAUCUGCCUUUCAGAGGGGAUAACAGCCGGAAACGGCUGCUAAUACCGCAUAAUGCAUCGGAUUCGCAUGUUUUGAUGCCAAAGAUUUAUCGCUGAAAGAUGAGCUCGCGUCUGAUUAGCUAGUUGGCGGGUAACGGCCCACCAAGGCGACGAUCAGUAGCCGGACUGAGAGGUUGAACGGCCACAUUGGGACUGAGACACGGCCCAG